rnacentral:rRNA from 1 species
ACUCAAAUGAAUUGACGGGGACCCGCACAAGCGGUGGAGCGUGUUCUUUAAUUCGAUGAUAAACGAAGAACCUUACCAGGGCUUGACAUCCCACGAAGAUCUCCGAAAGGAGAUUGUGCCGCAAGGAACGUGGUGACAGGUACUGCAUGGCCGUCUUCAGCUCGUGUCGUGAGAUGUUGGGUUAAGUCCCGCAACGAGCGCAACCCCUAUGACUAGUUGUAUUUUUCUAGUCAGACUGCUCCGGCAACGGGGAGGAAGGAGGGGAUGAUGUCAGGUCUUUAUUGUCCUUACGCCCUGGGCUAGAAACGCGCUACAAUGGCCGGUACAAUGGGCGGCAAACCCGCGAGGGGGAGCAAAUCUCAUCAAAGCCGGUCUCAGUUCGGAUUGUAGGCUGAAACUCGCCUGCAUGAAGCCGGAAUCGCUAGUAAUCGCAGGUCAGCAUACUGCGGUGAAUACGUUCCCGGGUCUUGUACACACCGCCCGU